UAACGCGUGAGGAACCUGCCUUCCAGAGGGGGACAACAGUUGGAAACGACUGCUAAUACCGCAUGAUGCAUUUGAAUCGCAUGGUUUGAAUGUCAAAGAUUUAUCGCUGGAAGAUGGCCUCGCGUCUGAUUAGCUAGUUGGUGAGGUAACGGCCCACCAAGGCGACGAUCAGUAGCCGGACUGAGAGGUUGGCCGGCCACAUUGGGACUGAGACACGGCCCAGACUCCUACGGAAGGCAGCAG
rnacentral:rRNA from 1 species